CGCGAUAAAUACGCAAGGAAUGUUAAAUGCCCGGUGUGAAUGGCGUAUUUCUUGUUAUUAUAAUAUUUUGUGCUUAAUCACCAAUUGUACAUAUAUGUCCAUGUACUUAUUUUUAAAAAUUAAUCAUUGAUGUUUAGUCUAAAAUAAAAUGGAUAGAAUAAUAAAAGGUAUAAUGAGAUACAGACAGUGUCACAGAGAAGGAAUGGUUAAACAAUUUAAACAAGUUAAAGAUCAUCCCGAACCAAAAGCAGUAUUUUUUACUUGCAUGGAUUCACGGAUGAUUCCUACUAGAUUCACGGAAACAAAUGUUGGAGAUAUGUUUGUUGUACGUAAUGCUGGUAAUGUUGUACCACACUCGCAACAUUUUAUUGAUGAAUUAACAAUGUGUGAGCCGGCAGCUUUGGAGCUUGGAUGUGUUGUUAAUGAUAUACGUCAUAUUAUUGUUUGUGGUCACAGUGAUUGUAAAGCCAUUAAUUUAUUGUACUCUCUUCAGGAUGAGGAAUUUGCUUCAAAAGAUAAUAGAAGAAUAUCACCAUUGAGAGCAUGGUUGUGUGCUCACGCAAAUAGUAGCCUAGAAAAAUUUAAACAAUUAAAAACAACUGGAUUUCAUCAGCCUAUGAUUUUUCAAGCUGAAACUCCAAUGAGAAAAUUUGUCGCUUACAUUGAUCCAGAAGAUAAAUUUGCUGUUGAAGAUAAACUUUCACAGAUAAAUACACUUCAGCAAUUACAAAAUAUUGCGUCAUAUGGAUUUUUGAAAAAACGUUUGGAACGGCAUGAUCUUCAUAUUCAUGCACUUUGGUUUGAUAUUUAUACUGGAGAUAUAUACUAUUUUAGUCGGGGUAAUAAAAGAUUCAUUGAAAUAAAUGAAAUAACUGAAAAACCCCUAUUAAGAGAAAUUGAAAAAUAUUACUCCUGAUAAAUAUAAUUACCCAAUAACUUGUAUACCUUCGAUACAUUCGAUUAUCAAAGAUAAUUAGCACAAUUAUUUUUCGACAGUUAUAUAUAUAUAUAUUUAUAUAGUUUUUCUGUGUACAAAUUAUAAAAAAUAAAUUUAUACAUACAGGUGCCAGAACGGUGGUAGCAAGUGAACUAGAGCAUGCCACUCCCGAAAGAGAAAGCAAAACAACAAAACUACUUAUACUAAUAUAUAAGCAUAGCCUAAGCCUGUCGCCUCUUUACUAUUU
rnacentral:misc_RNA from 1 species